rnacentral:rRNA from 1 species
GCGUUCUGCCAACGCUCGGGCAGUUCCCAGUUUUGGCAUGCCGUCGUCCGGCUGCUUCCGGUCUUACGUAUAGGCACUUCCAUCUCUGUGGGCUCUGGAGCUUCGACCUUGUUCUGGCUGGACAGGUGGCUCGGAGGCUUCCCUCUAGCCGCCCGGUUCCCCAUCCUCUUCGUCAUUGUAGUUGACCCUCGGGUCUCAGUCGAGGCGGCCCUUAUUGACUUAGGGCGCCUCGCGUUCCGCCGCCCUUUUGGCCCCGCUGAGGUGGCUGCCUGGGAUGUCCUCCUCCAGGACAUCGCCCUGCUACCUAUGGACGUGGCAGAUUCUCCGGACUCCAUCUCCUGGCGCCUAGACCCCUCCGGCCGCUUCUCCACCAAAUCCCUCUACGCGGCCAUUGCCCCUUCGUCAGCCCCGGAGCCCUUUGGUCUUAUCUGGGACAUCCGCCUCCCACUUAAGAUUCGGAUCUUUCUUUGGCAAUGGAUCCGCGGCCGCCUCCCGACCGGCGUUGAGGUUCUUAAGCGCCAUGGUCCUGGCGAUGGAAUGUGCCCCCUGUGUGGCACGGUAGAGGACGCUAAUCACAUCUUCUUCCUGUGCUACACGGCACAGUUCCUUUGGUCUUGUUUCCGCGAAACGGUUGGGGGACAGUGGUGCAACACCAACCUCCCUGACCUGCUUGCGGAAAUUCAAGCCUCCCCCCUCGCUACAGACAUAUUAGAUGGCUGUGCGUCGGGGUUCUAG